UUAUUCGUCCGUUUGUAUGCUCAUCUCUUACUCAAUUUUAUAUAUAUUGGAUAGUUUCAUUGAUGCCCUAAAAUGUUUUAUGAUAGUGCUUUCUGAAAUAUCUUAUCGUAGCACUUUAUAGCUGGUCUGCUUGAUUACAAGGUGGUCAUUUUUUCUUUUGUUGAAUCUUAGUAGUUGUAGACUUCCAUUGAAAGAUGAAAAUUCACAAAUUGAAUAUUUUCUACUUUUGUGCUUUUUGUCUUUAAUUUCAAGCUUUUCUGUUACAUGAUCAAUCCUAUUAGUUUUGUUCAUUACUAAAAUGAAUUGAAUCCUAUCAAAUAUUUCUAUUUCUCCUUUGAAUUACUUAUAUAUAUCCUAUGAAUUUCAUUUCGCACCGGAAAUUAUUCUAGGAGAAGUUUGAAUCCGUUCCGUUCGGAAAUUGAUUGGUCUUGAUUUGAAAUGGUUUACGCGUUACUGGUUCCCGGAAGAGUUAAUAUCUCCAUUAGCUAAUUUGGAAUAGAUGAAGUGGAUCUGUUGUGAAGUUAAUCUGGAAUUGAUUUCCUCGAUCUACCAUUUGAUUCUAUUUCAAAUGGUUUUAAAUGGUGUAUAAUAUUUACAAUUCAAAAGAGGUAAGUAUUAAUUGACUUGAUUGACGGUAAAAGAAAAAGAAAAAACCUAGAAAAUCAGAUAGUAAUUUUGCAUAUGACAACUUAAUUAGAACCUAAUAGUACUGGAGAGUUAAAUAUGUAACCAAAUGUUAAAUAUAAGUAAUAACUGCCAAUAUAAAGAAUAACACAAAAUAAGCAAUUCUACUUCAAGUCCAUUUCCUUUUUAUUUCUCUCUAUAUAUGAUCUCUGCCCUCUAAUUUUAAUUUGCAGUUUUCUUGUGGUAAUUGUCAAAGCAAUUGCUAUGUUCAUUGCUUUGAUGUGUGGAUGGCAAACAAUAAAGUAUUUGACUAAUUAAUUCUUGAUUUUCAUCACCUUCUGCAAUUAUCUUUUCCAGAAAAGUGCUUUCUAGGUAUACUCUUAACAGAUGUGUUGAUAUUUGACUCAUGCGCAGAGGAUGUUGAGCUUAAGCACGUCUAAUGGAAUUACUUCAUGUUUCUACAGAUGAUUGAAAGUAUGUGGAAUAAAUAGCUCUGAACUAAUCUAUAAAUGGUUAUAGUAAAAUAUGUUGCUUUUGUAAAAUGCUUGACCAAGAGGGUUAUGACACUAUGUGGAGUUAUCAUUGUCAUGUGUCUCUUUUCUAGCU